rnacentral:rRNA from 1 species
GGGAUUGCCUUAGUUACGGCGAGUGAAGCGGCAAAAGCUCAAAUUUGAAAUCUGGUACCUUCGGUGCCCGAGUUGUAAUUUGGAGAGGGCAACUUUGGGGCCGUUCCUUGUCUAUGUUCCUUGGAACAGGACGUCAUAGAGGGUGAGAAUCCCGUGUGGCGAGGAGUGCGGUUCUUUGUAAAGUGCCUUCGAAGAGUCGAGUUGUUUGGGAAUGCAGCUCUAAGUGGGUGGUAAAUUCCAUCUAAAGCUAAAUAUUGGCGAGAGACCGAUAGCGAACAAGUACAGUGAUGGAAAGAUGAAAAGAACUUUGAAAAGAGAGUGAAAAAGUACGUGAAAUUGUUGAAAGGGAAGGGCAUUUGAUCAGACAUGGUGUUUUGUGCCCUCUGCUCCUUGUGGGUAGGGGAAUCUCGCAUUUCACUGGGCCAGCAUCAGUUUUGGUGGCAGGAUAAAUCCAUAGGAAUGUAGCUUGCCUCGGUAAGUAUUAUAGCCUGUGGGAAUACUGCCAGCUGGGACUGAGGACUGCGACGUAAGUCAAGGAUGCUGGCAUAAUGGUUAUAUGCCGCCCGUCUUGAACCACGGACCAAAA